UUAUAAUUUCCCAACGUUAUUUAAAACAAUCUCUAUUUUUGUCCGUCUCUCUCCAGGAGAAUUUUGGCUUCAGAGGACAGGACUGGCUUUGUCUUCUCCAGGGCUGCAAGCUUCAGUUCCCAGCAAAGUGCGUUGAAUGUAGUAGGUGCUCAAUAAAUAUUUGUUAAAUGGAUGAAGAAUGCAUGAAAAGAAUGGGAGUGAAGGUGGCUUGAGUAAUGUGUAGAAGCUUAUGUUUUAUCCAGUAAAUGAGGUAGAUUGUGGGAUAUGUUAUGUGACUAUAUUUUCUAAUUAGGUUCCCUUUCAACAAUUAAGCAAGUUGCUUUCUUCUUUGCAUACCAUGUAAUUGAGGGUGGAUAGGUGGACGGAAAGACUUUUGUGUUAUAGGGUGGGGAGGUGAGAAGGGGGAAUGAGUCUGAGAUUUACAAGGAGAAAAAAAUGGUCUUAGUUAAUCCACAGGGUGGGUGAGAGCUCAACCAGAAUGCUCUUUGGAAUCCAGACAAUUCAGUGACAGUAACACUCUCCUACAAGUGUUAGGGAGGUCAGAGGAGAUGAGUCUGUGACAUGUGCAAUCACUCUUGAUGUGUUUGAUUUUUCAACAGUAUUUCAUGGUGACAUUUAAAUUUGAAUGGGAAAUGACCUCCUUGUUCCCAGCUCCUUUUCUAGCCAGCAUAGGAUUGCUCCUUCAACAAAUAUUGCUCUAACCAUGGUGACACUGUGAGAAAUGAAUGUCAAGUCGUCCUGCGUUGCCGGAAUGUUUGUACAAGGCGGUGGUGAGUAAGUAAGGGUAGUGCAAGCCCCAGGGUCUGGGUCCCACUGCAUAGGGGAUCCUUGGGGGUGGGUCUUCUGCAAAGCCUCAAGAACGGUCCUGUGGUCUGGCCCAUCUGUAUGCUAGCCUGCUGCCACGUGGUGGAUCCAGGGUGACAGUUCAGUCCCUCUCCACAUUCGGAGUUGGGCACAAAGCCUUUGGUAAUCCCGUAUCGAGAGGGUGCAGGAUCCGUGCAUUUCGUACCCAAACCGAGGUCAGCUUUGUGGCUUUCUGAGCUAGAUGAAGGACAUUUUUGUAGUGUUCACAGACCCCCAACUCACAGACCUACAACCGUAUAUGCAGUUUGAGAAGAAAUUUGAGUAGGUAAACAGGUAGACUGGGAGGGAAUAUGCUGCCCUGAAAACACUUCUGGUUUUUUGGGGGGGGGCAGGGAUGUCUGUUUUGAGCUUCCAGAGCUUUUUGCUUGGUGUUCUGCGGAGAAUUUUGCAUUCCAAAAGAUAGGCGAGGCUGCCUUCCUGUGUCUGAAACCUCCAGAAGGUGCUCUGAGAGAAUAGAGGCUUCCCCAGCCUGUUUUCGGGAGAUAAUCUCCCCUCACCUGGUGGUGCAGGUUGCAUCUGGUUAACAUCCCAGUCGUUUUGCUUAUAGUUUCCCUAGGACCUUUCCUGAGGAAUAAUAAGGAUAUUAAUAAUAAUAAGGAUAAUAAUAUCCUUUAAAAGGGGUUAUCCAUUAUAUCUCAAUAAAGCAAAAAAAAAAAAAGAAAAAAGCGAGAGC
rnacentral:lncRNA from 12 species